rnacentral:rRNA from 1 species
UGAGAGGCGAUGAAGGACGUGGUACGCUGCGUUAAGCCAUGGGGAGCUGCGAACAAGCUUUGAUCCAUGGAUUUCCGAAUGGGGAAACCCGGCCCUUCGGGGUCAUCCUGUACUGAAUACAUAGGUGCAGGAAGCGAACCUGGGGAACUGAAACAUCUAAGUACCCAGAGGAAAGGACAUCAAUUGAGACUUCCCUAGUAGUGGCGAGCGAACGGGAACCAGGCCAGUGGCUGAUAUGAGACAACCGGAACCGUCUGGAAAGACGGGCCAUAGUGGGUGACAGCCCCGUACGGGUAAUUCGAUUAUCAGUCCUCGAGUAGGGCGGGACACGUGAAAUCCUGUCUGAACAUGGGGGGACCACCCUCCAAGCCUAAGUACUCCUUACCGACCGAUAGUGAACUAGUACCGUGAGGGAAAGGCGAAAAGAACCCCGGAGA